UACGUAGGGUGCAAGCGUUAAUCGGAAUUACUGGGCGUAAAGCGUGCGCAGGCGGUUUUGUAAGUCUGUCGUGAAAGCCCCGGGCUCAACCUGGGAAUUGCGAUGGAGACUGCAAGGCUUGAAUCUGGCAGAGGGGGGGUAGAAUUCCACGUGUAGCAGUGAAAUGCGUAGAGAUGUGGAGGAACACCGAUGGCGAAGGCAGCCCCCCUGGGUCAAGAUUGACGCUCAUGCACGAAAGCGUGGGGGGAGCAAACAGG
rnacentral:rRNA from 1 species